ensembl:antisense Gm11423 predicted gene 11423
GUUGGAGUGGCGGCUUGGGGCGCAGCGUCCCUGAACUUCCUAGAGUUUCUCAGAUUGUUAGAUAUUGAAGGUAGUGUUGAAAAAUCAUUGCAGUGAUCCUAGGGAUGGGAAGCUCGAGUCGUUCCACCUGUGUCUUCCGCACCGCAGGAGUUUUGCUGAAUUAAAAGGCACUACUUUAAUUAAAAAGCAGGAUAAACCUGGGUUUGGAGUUCGGAAGGCCUUAGGCUCAAGGGCUCCAGUUGAGGAAGCGUGAACAUUUUGACUGGAGUUGAUCUUAACCCAAUGGACUUUCCCUGUGCUGACCAACCCUUUCAUCACAAGCAAUAUAUUCGGUUGCUGAGCCCUGGAAAUGUAAGCAGUCUGAAGUGAGAGAUGCUGUAAAUGAACACUGUACACUGACAAGUACCCAACACUUCCCCAAAGAGAGUAAAAUACCUCAUUAAUAGUAAUAGUGCAUAUAUUCCAGUUAUUUGCUGGCAUAAUUUUUUAUGUGUUCGGUUAAAGAAUAUUUACUGUCACUCACCUGUUUGGUUUUACUGUCUUUGAACUAGGGCAUCAGAAACGAUGGGGCUGCGUGCUUAACUCCCAUUGUUAUGGCUCCAGCUCAGCACUCCACAGACAGAAAGCCUGUGGUGAGGAGCAGUGGGUAUCUGCAA